GCACUCGUGGAUCAGUGGCGAACGGGUGAGUAACACGUGAGUAACCUGCCCUCCACUCUGGGAUAAGCGCUGGAAACGGCGUCUAAUACUGGAUACGACCAAUCCCUGCAUGGGGUGUUGGUGGAAAGAUUCAUCGGUGGUGGAUGGACUCGCGGCCUAUCAGCUUGUUGGUGGGGUAAUGGCCCACCAAGGCGACGACGGGUAGCCGGCCUGAGAGGGCGACCGGCCACACUGGGACUGAGACACGGCCCAGACUCCUACGGGAGGCAGCAGUGGGGAAUAUUGCACAAUGGGCGAAAGCCUGAUGCAGCGACGCCGCGUGAGGGAUGACGGCCUUCGGGUUGUAAACCUCUUUCAGCAGGGAAGAAGCUUUUGUGACGGUACCUGCAGAAGAAGCACCGGCUAACUACGUGCCAGCAGCCGCGGUAAUACGUAGGGUGCGAGCGUUGUCCGGAAUUAUUGGGCGUAAAGAGCUUGUAGGCGGUUUGUCGCGUCUGCUGUGAAAAUCCAGGGCUUAACCCUGGACGUGCAGUGGGUACGGGCAGACUAGAGU
rnacentral:rRNA from 1 species